rnacentral:rRNA from 1 species
UAAUACCUUGGCCGUUAAAUGCGGUCUUGCAUGAAUGACGUAACGAUACAACAGCUGUCUCGAUGAUUGGCUCGGUGAAAUUGGAAUAACAGUGCAGAUACUGUUUACCUGUAGAUAGACGAGAAGACCCUAUGCAGCUUUACUGUUGCUAGUUAUUGGGUAUGAUAUACCAAGUUUUAGCGUAUAAGGUAGUUGAUUUGACAACAUUGUAACACCUUUACUUAUGGGGAUCAUAUUUAAUUACCACAAGUGGUGGAACAAUUGCUGGGUGGCAGUUUAUGCGGGGCACAGAUCCCAUAAAAAGUACCUGGGAGUAUCCAAAUUUUAAUUCUAAAAAAAAAAAUAUAUGCAAGCAUAUAUAUAGAGACUACCUUUAUAUAUUAAAUAAAAAUUCUGUUACAGCAGUAGCCUGCUAUAUUUUUUAUUAUUAGUUUGCUAUUAGUUAUAAUUAAUUUAUUACUAAUCUAAUUAUUUAUCUAUUUAAGUUAGAACUUUUUUUUUAACCAAGUAGGAUUUUAACUAUCUAAAUAUAUAGAUGUAAUUAAAACAUUAUAUAGUUAUAAUAUAAAAUAUAUUAUAUACUAGGAAUGUUUUUUGUUGUUAACUAGUUUAUCUAUAAAUUAAUAAGAGAUAACUAGCUAAAUGAUUAUUUUUUUACUCAUAAAGUUUAACGGCUUAAUCUUGCUUUACUGUUUGACUUACAUGUCUUUCAGUCGCGUAAGCGGGGCAUAUGAUCACAAGAUGCAGAAAGGAAAGGUCUUGGAUUAUUGAAAAAGCUACGCUAGGGAUAACAGGCUAAUUGCGCCAGAGAGUUCAUAUUGAGUGCGCAGUUUGGCACCUCGAUGUCGGCUUAGCUCAUCCACAUGGAUGCAACAACCAUGAAGGGUUCGACUGUUCGUCGAUUAAAGAGUUACACGAGCUGGGUUAAAUACGUCGUGAGACAGUAUGGUUUCUAUCUUCUAGAGGAAAUUAGAAUAAAAUAAGGAUAGCCCCUUGUACGUAAGUAAAUGGGUAUAUUAACCUCUGGUUUACCUGCUGUUUAUGUUCCUAUAUUAAUUUAAAUUAUAAGUUUAUAUAAAAAGUACAUUAUUUUUAAUAUGGCUUAUUUUGGGGUUUUACUUUUCACUAUAGUAAUUUUUAACAUAGGCACGGCAGGAAGGCUAUGUUAGUUAAUGAUAAGAGCUGAAUACAUAUAGGCACGAAACUUACCUUAAGAUAUUCUUAAAUAAACGUAGUUUAAUACUACGAUUUUUGGUCCUUAUAGUUUAAAUAUGAAAAGAUUAAACAAGUAUAAUUUUAUAAAAUUAAUCAGGGUUUAAUAUUAUUAUUAUUUUUACCAUAAAGAUUUUAAUUAAUAGGCUUUAGCUGAUAGAAUUGUGACAUUUUUAGGCACUAAGUACUAAUUUUUUUUUUGUGAAUAAUAUGGAUAGUAUUGUUUUGUCGUUAAAUAUUUUUAAUGGCGGCAAGUAUACAAAGAAGCUAUUAUGGAUUCACAGCUAUAUAUCAAAGAGAGAAUAAAACUUUUAAUUUUGAAAUCACACCUUUUAUUAUUUUUUUUCUUUUGUUUUAAAUCAUUAUUCUUAUAAUGAUGAUAAUAAUAGGAUUUAAAAAGUAAAUGGGCUGUUAGUAGAUGAACUCUAAUUAGAAAUUAAUUAAAAAAAACGAAGUGAAUUGAAAUAUCUUAUUAACUUCAGGAAAACAAAUCAAACGAGAUUCUGCAAGUAGUGAGAAUGAAAGAGGAAUAGCCUAAUUAAGUAAAAUGGAGUACAUAUCUGUUUGAAUAUAAAGGGGAACCUUCCUCUAAGGCUAAAUAUGAUAUAUAAGCGAUAGUUGGAAGUACCGUGAGGGAAAGGAUUGAAAUAGUAGUUUUAUAAGCAGCUCGAGCGAAAUUUAAAUAAACGAUGAGAGCGUACCUUUUGCAUAAUGGGUCAGCAAGUUAAUAUUAGACGCGAGCAGUUAAGCGAAGAUAAACCAAUUAUGAAAUAAUGAUAUAGUAUCUAAGAUUAGACCCGAAGCCUAGUGAUCUUACCAUGAUCAGGGUUAUAAAAGCCCGGACGGUUUAUCGUUGUAAAGAUAUCCGAUGAAUUGUGGUAUGUUAGUGAAAGAUAAUACUGACUAGGAUAGCUGGUGAUCUGUUUCCGCGAAACCUAUAUAAGUAGGUAAUUUAAAUAACAUCAUAGCAGGUACAGAAUUGUGGUCUCAUAUAGCUAACAUGUCUAUGAAAUAGACAUGUUAUCUGUAGACAUUGGGGGAUCGUGAAGAUUCUAUCAGUGAGUAUUUGUUCUCGGAAGGGCUAAGAUUAAUAUUGAAUAAUCAGACAUAGUACGCAAAGGUUGUAUGUCUAAAGGGAAACAGCCCAGAACAAGAGUUAAUAAGGUUCCAAAAUUAUUGUUAAGUGAAAUAAAAGUAGUAUUUGUCCCAGACAACCAGGAAAUAGGCUUAGAAGCGGCCAUUUUUUGAAGACCUCGUAGCAGAGCACUGGUUUGUAGACUGUUUAUAUGAUUUACAAGGAUAAAGCACUGAAAAUUUAACGGAUCUAAACAAUAUACCGAAACCUUGUCCAUAUAUAUUUAUAUAUCAUAGUUAUAUAUUGUAUGUAUGGGGUAGCGGAACAUUGGGCUAACCUAAGAUUUUUUCUUUAUAAGACUUAAUAUCAGGUAACCCAAGUGAGAAUGCUGACAUGAGUAACGAUAAAGGGAAUAACUCCCUCGCCUAAAGCUUAUGGUAUUUACUUAAAGUAACGGCCUCUAAGUUUAUGUAGUAGAGUAGUAAAAUAAAGUAACCAAAAUAAAGUAAAUGAAACGACGUUUUUUGUUGCUUCACUAACUUUAUAACGCUGUUUUAGUUUAUUACCUAGUCCUUUAGGAUUAAACGAUGAGCAAAUCUAGAGAGUUUACUGGCAAAUAACAUUUAUGCACAUAUAUAUAUAAUAUGUAUAACUAGUGUAUAAAGAAGGUGAUAAAUGUUCUGGAAAACUGUAAACUCGACAUGAAACUGCAGAAAUGUAUAGUGUGAGUAGUAAAGAGAAAACACGAAAGGAAUUAAACGUUCCAUCAUGUCUAUAUCAACCGUACCUAAAUACUAUCGCAAGUAAGCAAGUAGAGAAUACGAAGGCGUUCGAGUGAACAAUCAUUAAGGAACUCGGCAAAUUAACUCUGUCGUAACUUAGGGAUAAGGUGGGCCAUUCCACUUGAUUAAUAUCAAGGUUGGAAGAGGAGGCACAGAAUGGUGUUGUACGACUGUUUAAUUAAAACAAAGCAUGCUGCAAAGAAAAAAAAAUUCGAAGUAUAGUGUGUGAACUCUGCCCUAUGACGGCUGGGUAUACUAUUUGCUUAAUUGACUAACAUAGGUUAGGCUUUGAAGGAAACCCCGUUCAAUGGCGGCUUUACAGAUGAGAGUCCUAAGGUAGCG